UACGGAGGAUGCAAGCGUUAUCCGGAUUCAUUGGGUUUAAAGGGUGCGUAGGCGGGCUAUUAAGUCAGUGGUGAAAUCCCGCAGCUUAACUGCAGAACUGCCGUUGAUACUGAUAGUCUUGAGUUUGGUUAAGGUAGGCGGAAUGUGUAAUGUAGCGGUGAAAUGCUUAGAUAUUACACAGAACACCAAUUGCGUAGGCAGCUUACUGAGCCGACACUGACGCUGAGGCACGAAAGCGUGGGGAUCAAACAGGAUUA
rnacentral:rRNA from 1 species